AGAGUUUGAUCCUGGCUCAGAUUGAACGCUGGCGGCAUGCCUUACACAUGCAAGUCGAACGGUAACAGGUCUUCGGAUGCUGACGAGUGGCGAACGGGUGAGUAAUACAUCGGAACGUGCCCGAGAGUGGGGGAUAACGGAGCGAAAGCUUUGCUAAUACCGCAUACGAUCUACGGAUGAAAGCAGGGGACCGCAAGGCCUUGCGCUCAUGGAGCGGCCGAUGGCAGAUUAGGUAGUUGGUGGGAUAAAAGCUUACCAAGCCGACGAUCUGUAGCUGGUCUGAGAGGACGACCAGCCACACUGGGACUGAGACACGGCCCAGACUCCUACGGGAGGCAGCAGUGGGGAAUUUUGGACAAUGGGCGCAAGCCUGAUCCAGCCAUGCCGCGUGCAGGAUGAAGGCCUUCGGGUUGUAAACUGCUUUUGUACGGAACGAAAAGACUCCUUCUAAUAAAGGGGGUCCAUGACGGUACCGUAAGAAUAAGCACCGGCUAACUACGUGCCAGCAGCCGCGGUAAUACGUAGGGUGCAAGCGUUAAUCGGAAUUACUGGGCGUAAAGCGUGCGCAGGCGGUUAUAUAAGACAGAUGUGAAAUCCCCGGGCUCAACCUGGGAACUGCAUUUGUGACUGUAUAGCUAGAGUACGGCAGAGGGGGAUGGAAUUCCGCGUGUAGCAGUGAAAUGCGUAGAUAUGCGGAGGAACACCGAUGGCGAAGGCAGCCCCCUGGGUCAAGAUUGACGCUCAUGCACGAAAGCGUGGGGAGCAAACAGGAUUAGAUACCCUGGUAGUCCACGCCCUAAACGAUGUCUACUAGUUGUCGGGUUUUAAUUAACUUGGUAACGCAGCUAACGCGUGAAGUAGACCGCCUGGGGAGUACGGUCGCAAGAUUAAAACUCAAAGGAAUUGACGGGGACCCGCACAAGCGGUGGAUGAUGUGGAUUAAUUCGAUGCAACGCGAAAACCUUACCUACCCUUGACAUGGCCGGAAUCCCGGAGAGAUUUGGGAGUGCUCGAAAGAGAACCUGCACCCAGGUGCUGCAUGGCUGUCGUCAGCUCGUGUCCGUGAGAAUGUUGGGUUAAGUCCCGCAACCGAGCGCCACCCUUGUCAUUAGUGGCUACGAAAGAGCCACUCUCAAUGAAACUGGCCGGGUGACAAACCGGAAGGAAAGGGUGGGAUGAACCCUCAAGUCCUUCAUGGCUCUAUUGGGUAAGGCCUCUCCCACACGUUCAAUUAACAAUGUGGUACCACAAUUCACGU
rnacentral:rRNA from 1 species